rnacentral:ncRNA from 1 species
AGGGGAAUGCAGACUCCCCGUCAGACGGGCGUUGCCGUCCAAGUUCUGC